UUGCAUAUCUCAGAAGAGAAGCAAAAGAUUUUGUAACAUUUCACCUCAACAUUAAACCCUGAAACAAGUACCAUCAUCCAGAUCAAACACACCAAGAAACAAGCCAAAAAUAAUAAUGCAUGGCAUCACAAACCACACACGACAGCAUUCAUUCAUUCAUUCAUUCAUUCAAAACAAGGACGACCAUACUACCAUAGCAUUCCACCAACCAAUUCCAAUUCCGAAUCACGGCGCCUUUUUUGUUCGAUUCAACGACGAACUAACAGCUCAACGCAGGAUCAGGAUCAGGCUAGGUAGGUAGGGAACACGUACGACAACAUAAGAUAUAUAAGUAGAUAGCCUAACACAGCAGCAUAACGAUAAUAAUCUCAUCAGGCAGACAGAUCAAAAUAAUAGUGCUUGGCCUUGGAGUGCGAAGCUAGAGCACCCUCGCUGUUGAAUAUAUGUCCUGCGCAAAAUCAAUCAACAGAGAUUCACCAAGUUAGCAACACUGGAAUCCACAGUCAUCAUCUAAUAACUGUCCAAACAGAAAUAUAUAUAGCACAAGAGAAAAGACUUGGGUGACUUGUCGCUGGUAGCCGGGGUCUUGCCUGCCUUCUUGGCCGGGUGAGGAGUCGCCACAUGGACAGCCCCCUUCUUGUCACCUCCAAACAAAGGGCAUCAUUAUUAGCAAACAACCAAGGCCACACCAUAUCAUGGGCUGCUCACAUUCAUUAUUGCAAGGCUGAUUGAUAUCACACACACACACAAUGUUAUACCUGUCUUGUGGCCUGACGGUGUUGCAAUCUUGGCCUUCUUGUCAGUAACAGGGGUCUUGAACACACUUGUGAAUAGUGAAUAGCACCAUUUUGUCAGGUGUAUAUGAUGGUAACAAACUAGCAUCAGCAAGAAAAACUAUAAUAAUAACAUUGACAAGAGCACAUCAAGAACGAGCAUACUACCCUGGGUGGGUGUUUCUUCUUCCUCAUCAUCAUCAUCAUCAUCGCUGUCAUCAUCCUUGUUAGAUUUUCCCACAUCCUUGGCAGCAGCCUUAGACUUGACGCGGGAGGGAGCGGCGCAUUGGUGGUCUUGGGUUGUCAUGACGCUGGAUGGACAGCUCCCUUGAUGCAUUGAUUUGGAGGGGUUUUGAUCCUUGUGAAAGUGAGAUGAAAUGUCUGGCUUUUGGGGCGUGCGUCAUACGGCUCAAGCAGAAACACAAAUUUUCAACGAAUAUUAGAAAAAAGGUUCAAAACUUCAUCAGCCACUGAAUUGGGUCGAUUUGCCUUGAAGAUAUCAAAUAAGAAAAAUCAAAUGUUGGUUCUAGUUGAAGAUCCGCAGCAACGGUAGUAAUAAGUGCAAGAAACACAAGAUGUGUUGGCUGUCAUAUAGGUUCAGAAAUUAACAAUUUCAGACUAGUUUCAGAUUUGUUUGUAGUUGAUGCAAGGGAGGGACACCAUUCCUGAGAGAGACAAGAUCAACUAUACAUUUAUCUAGCCUAGCCUAGCCUAGCCUAGGAGGGGAAGGAGAGGAAAAGGAGGGAGAAAUUGGAGCCUGCCUGCCUGGUGUAUCCUUGUUCCUAGAGCCAGCCUUGUGUACAUACUUCUAGUUGGCUCACAAUCUGAACAAGAGUGGUAGCCCAGCCCAGCCAAUUAGUUUUUGCUUAUAUGAUAUGCUACCAUUAGACAGGAUUAACUUGUUGCAUUUUUCUUCAUGUCAAAAGACUUUAUAACAUUUCACCUCAACAUCAAACAAGUGCAGCAACCCACUUCAAAAACAUCAAGAAACAAGCCAAAAAUAUGUCCCAAACCACACAGGAUUCAUUCAUUCAAAACCAUGAUGACCAUAGCAUUCCACCAACCAAUUCCAAUUCCGAAUCACAGCGGCUUUUUUGUUCGAUUCAACAACAAACGCAUCAACACUAACAGCUCAACGGUUUCUCCCUUCCCUUCCCUCGGGAUCAGGCUAGGUAGGUACGACAACAUAAUAAGAUAUAGCAGAUAGCCUAACACAGCAGCAUAACGAUAAUAAUCUCAAUAGGGCAGACAGAUCAAAAUAAUAGCAACUGGAGCCAGCCAGCCAGCCAACACCUUCCUCUCCUCUUCACUUGGCCUCGUGCUUUGCCUUGGAGUGCGAAGCUAGAGCGCCCUCGCUGUUGAAUGUCCUGCGCAAAACCAAUCAAGAGAGAUUCACCAUGUUAGCAACACUGGAAUCCACAGUCAUCAUCUAAUAACUGUCCAAACAGAAAUAUAUAUAUA
rnacentral:lncRNA from 1 species